UCGAACGAGCGAGAGAGAGCUUGCUUUCUCAAGCGAGUGGCGAACGGGUGACUAUCGCGUGAGGAACCUGCCUCAAAGAGGGGGACAACAGUUGGAAACGACUGCUAAUACCGCAUAAGCCCACGACCCGGCAUCGGGUUGAGGGAAAAGGAGCAAUCCGCUUUGAGAUGGCCUCGCGUCCGAUUAGCUAGUUGGUGAGGUAACGGCCCACCAAGGCGACGAUCGGUAGCCGGACUGAGAGGUUGAACGGCCACAUUGGGACUGAGACACGGCCCAGACUCCUACGGGAGGCAGCAGUGGGGAAUAUUGCACAAUGGGGGAAACCCUGAUGCAGCGACGCCGCGUGGAGGAAGAAGGUCUUCGGAUUGUAAACUCCUGUUGUUGAGGAAGAUAAUGACGGUACUCAACAAGGAAGUGACGGCUAACUACGUGCCAGCAGCCGCGGUAAAACGUAGGUCACAAGCGUUGUCCGGAAUUACUGGGUGUAAAGGGAGCGCAGGCGGGAAGACAAGUUGGAAGUGGAAUCUAUGGGCUCAACCCAUAAACUGCUUUCAAAACUGUUUUUCUUGAGUAGUGCAGAGGUAGGCGGAAUUCCCGGUGUAGCGGUGGAAUGCGUAGAUAUCGGGAGGAACACCAGUGGCGAAGGCGGCCUACUGGGCACCAACUGACGCUGAGGCUCGAAAGUGUGGGUAGCAAACAGGAUUAGAUACUCUGGUAGUCCACACCGUAAACGAUGAUUACUAGGUGUUGGAGGAUUGACCCCUUCAGUGCCGCAGUUAACA
rnacentral:rRNA from 1 species